CCAUGCAUUCAUGCUAUUGCUGCAAUCAGAAAGAGGCAUGACCAACCACAGGAUUAUAUGCAUCUUUGGCUGAGUAUGAAAUCCAUUCAUAAGACAUAUGCACAUUGCAUAAAACCAGUUCCUAGUGAGAAAUUCUGGACUGAAGGAGACUAGUUCAGGCCUACUCCACCACCCAUCAAGCGACCUAUUGGGAGGCCAAAGGUGCACUGUCGCAACAAGGACACUGCUGAGGCUCAUAUUUAGGGGGACAAGCUGAAGAGAAGCUUUCAAGUUACAUAUAGCAAGUGCAACGAGAAAGGACAUAACUACAAGACUUGUAAAGGAGCACCAAGCAACCCAAACUGAAAACCAAAAAGGAAAAAAGCUAAGAAGACUAUUGAUAAUACAUAAGCUUUGGUGUUGCUUUCCCUUUCACAAUCAGCCCCUCAACUAGAGGCCCCCAACAAGUGUAAAUCCACCAUCAAAUCCACCACCAAAUCCACUCCCAAAUACAGCACAAACUCAAAGCACCAAUACUAGUGGGGGACCAUCAAAGGAGACCUUGAAAGCAGCUAACAGUGGGACCACAAGAAUUUUCAAAUUCAUCCUAACUCCUGGAUCCAACAAUCAGAAGAACUGAACACAACUG